GACGAACGCUGGCGGCGUGCUUAACACAUGCAAGUCGAACGGAAAGGCCCUGCUUUUGUGGGGUGCUCGAGUGGCGAACGGGUGAGUAACACGUGAGUAACCUGCCCUUGACUUUGGGAUAACUUCAGGGAACUGGGGCUAAUACCGGAUAGGAGCUCCUGCUGCAUGGUGGGGGUUGGAAAGUUUCGGCGGUUGGGGAUGGACUCGCAGCUUAUCAGCUUGUUGGUGGGGUAGGGGCUGACCAAGGCUUUGACGGGUAGCCGGCCUGAGAGGGUGACCGGCCACAUUGGGCCUGAGAUACGGCCCAGAAUCCUACGGGAGGCAGCAGUGGGGAAUAUUGCACAAUGGGCGGAAGUCUGAUGCAGCAACGCUGCGUGCGGGAUGAUGGCUUUCGGGUUGUAAACCGCUUUCGACUGUGACGAAGCGUGCGUGACGGUAAUGGGUAAAGAAGCACCGGCUAACUACGUG
rnacentral:rRNA from 1 species